ACCACCCCCGUUCCCGGGCAGCCUCUCCCAGGGAGAGGGGCGGGAUGCCAAAAGCGCGAGGAGCUCAGCGAGGCUUGGGUGAAAAUCCCGGGAUGUGCUCAUCGCUCUCGGGUUUCCUGUCCCCGUUUGACCAGGGCUGGGAGCUUGGAGCAGACCCAGGCGCUGCAGGGAGGAAGGAAACCCAAGAAAUUCGAUUUUCAUGGGAGGUGAGAGUGAGACCCGGCAGUAGCUGAGCACGGAGGGUGCCAAGGAGCUGAAAUGUCAAAAUCCAAGGAGUGAUGCCCAGUGGUGACCCGUGGAGGAGGCUGGGGAUGUAAAGUCCCGAUUUAUUUUUUUUUUUAAUUAUUUUCCUGGGUUUUUCAUCCCACGGCGGGGCGAACUGCGCUUGUGCCAGAUCCACAACCCCUCGGGGGCUGGAUGCAGGAGCUGCCUGGGGAAUAUCGCUUUAAAUCAACACGCCCAGCGCUCCUUAUCGAUUGCCCCAUCGGAGCCGCGUGAGGCCCCGGCUUUCCCUGCUCCCGGGGCUGCUGGGCCACCUCGGAGCCGUGCCCCGUGGCCACAGCCAGCAGGAGGGACCCCCAGGACCCCAGGGGACCCCCCCAAAGCCCCGGCAGAGGGAUUUUAGCCAACAAACCCCCGAAUUUACACCUUGCCCUUUUAUCCGUGCGCCAUCUGUGAUUUGCACGGAAUAAACCCACACCCGAUCCCAGCCCGGGCUCUGCCACCGCCGGCAGGGCGCGGAUGCCAUCAGCAGCGGGACAUUCCUGCUGUCCCCAUCUCCGUCCCUCUGCCAGCACGGGGAGCGGGAUGUUCGUGUCUCCUGGCACUCAGCUUCGCCACACGCCCUCCUCCUGCCCUUGCCGUGCAAAUCCUGCAGCUUUCCAGCCGCACCGACGAGCCUUU